CAGAUUGAACGCUGGCGGCAGGCCUAACACAUGCAAGUCGAGCGGAUGAAGAGAGCUUGCUCUCUGAUUCAGCGGCGGACGGGUGAGUAAUGCCUAGGAAUCUGCCUGGUAGUGGGGGACAACGUUUCGAAAGGAACGCUAAUACCGCAUACGUCCUACGGGAGAAAGCAGGGGACCUUCGGGCCUUGCGCUAUCAGAUGAGCCUAGGUCGGAUUAGCUAGUUGGUGAGGUAAUGGCUCACCAAGGCGACGAUCCGUAACUGGUCUGAGAGGAUGAUCAGUCACACUGGAACUGAGACACGGUCCAGACUCCUACGGGAGGCAGCAGUGGGGAAUAUUGGACAAUGGGCGAAAGCCUGAUCCAGCCAUGCCGCGUGUGUGAAGAAGGUCUUCGGAUUGUAAAGCACUUUAAGUUGGGAGGAAGGGUUGUAGAUUAAUACUCUGCAAUUUUGACGUUACCGACAGAAUAAGCACCGGCUAACUCUGUGCCAGCAGCCGCGGUAAUACAGAGGGUGCAAGCGUUAAUCGGAAUUACUGGGCGUAAAGCGCGCGUAGGUGGUUUGUUAAGUUGGAUGUGAAAGCCCCGGGCUCAACCUGGGAACUGCAUUCAAAACUGACAAGCUAGAGUAUGGUAGAGGGUGGUGGAAUUUCCUGUGUAGCGGUGAAAUGCGUAGAUAUAGGAAGGAACACCAGUGGCGAAGGCGACCACCUGGACUGAUACUG
rnacentral:rRNA from 1 species